rnacentral:rRNA from 1 species
UACGUAGGGUGCAAGCGUUGUCCGGAAUUAUUGGGCGUAAAGAGCUCGUAGGCGGUCUGUCGCGUCGGAUGUGAAAAUCCAGGGCUUAACCCUGGACCUGCAUUCGAUACGGGCAGACUAGAGUUCGGUAGGGGAGACUGGAAUUCCUGGUGUAGCGGUGAAAUGCGCAGAUAUCAGGAGGAACACCGGUGGCGAAGGCGGGUCUCUGGGCCGAUACUGACAGCUGAGGAGC